UAGGGAAUCUUCGGCAAUGGGGGCAACCCUGACCGAGCAACGCCGCGUGAGUGAAGAAGGUUUUCGGAUCGUAAAGCUCUGUUGUAAGUCAAGAACGGGUGUGAGAGUGGAAAGUUCACACUGUGACGGUAGCUUACCAGAAAGGGACGGCUAACUACGUGCCAGCAGCCGCGGUAAUACGUAGGUCCCGAGCGUUGUCCGGAUUUAUUGGGCGUAAAGCGAGCGCAGGCGGUUUGAUAAGUCUGAAGUUAAAGGCUGUGGCUCAACCAUAGUUCGCUUUGGAAACUGUCAAACUUGAGUGCAGAAGGGGAGAGUGGAAUUCCAUGUGUAGCGGUGAAAUGCGUAGAUAUAUGGAGGAACACCGGUGGCGAAAGCGGCUCUCAGGUCUGUAACUGACGCUGAGGCUCGAAAGCGUGGGGAGCGAACAGG
rnacentral:rRNA from 1 species